GGCUCCAUGGUCAAGCGGUUAAGACACCGCCCUUUCACGGCGGUAACCCGGGUUCGAUUCCCGGUGGAGUCACCA
rnacentral:tRNA from 2 species